rnacentral:misc_RNA from 1 species
CGGACUACCGGGGUUUCUAAUCCCGUUUGCUCCCCACGCUUUCGUGCACUCAGCGUCAGAAAUGAGCCAGAAAGCCGCUUUCGCCACUGGUGUUCCUCCCGAUCUCUACGCAUUCCACCGCUACACCGGGAAUUCCGCUUUCCUCUAUCAUCCUCAAGCCAAGCAGUCUCGAACGACCUCCCCCAGUUGAGCCAGGGGCUUUAACGUCCGACUUACCUAACCGCCUACGCACGCUUUACGCCCAGUGAAUCCGGAUAACGCUCGCCUCCUACGUUUUACCGCGGCGGCUGGCACC